rnacentral:rRNA from 1 species
UACGUAGGGGGCUAGCGUUGUCCGGAAUCAUUGGGCGUAAAGAGCGUGUAGGCGGUUCGAUCAGUCCGCUGUAAAAGUCAGGGGCUCAACCCUUGAAAGCCGGUGGAUACUGUCGGGCUAGAGUGCGGAAGAGGCGAGUGGAAUUCCUGGUGUAGCGGUGAAAUGCGCAGAUAUCAGGAGGAACACCAAUUGCGAAGGCAGCUCGCUGGGACGUUACUGACGCUGAGACGCGAAAGCGUGGGGAGCAAACAGG